rnacentral:lncRNA from 1 species
UGGGUUACACUAAUGACUGGACCGAAUGACAGGACCAAAUGAAAAAUGCUAAUAACUUUUUCAUUUCUCAAAGGAUUGAUCUGAAAUUUGAAAUAUAAUAAGAUUUCAUCAUUUGAUAAAUAGAUUUAAGAAAAAAAAUUAAAAGUUUUGUAAGAAACUUUAGAAAAUGUGACAUGACCAACUUUGAUAAUGACAGGACCAACAUCGAGAAUGACAGGAC